CCUGUGUCCUGGGUGCCUUUCUACAGUUUACCAUAUAGAACAUUGGGGUCUCUGGGGACCCAACCCACCAUUCAUUUCCAUGGGGGCCACUAAAUGCGGAUACUGAGACAUUAGAAAGCCUACAAAGCCCAUGAUCAGCACCAUGCUGCUGUUAAAAGAAUACCAGGUAACAUCCUACUACCUGAAAUUGGCAUCAAAAGUUGGGGCAAGUCUUACAGAACCGAGACCUUAACCUAUGGGAUCUGAUGCUAUCUGCAAGCAGGUAAUAUUGGAAUUGAAUUGAAUUGAAUUGUAAGACAUCCAGCUGGUGUGUGCUGGAGAACUGCUUGUUGUAUGAUAAAAUAACCCUACACAUCUGGUGUCAGAACUAUUGUGUUGAGUGGUGUGUGACAGUAGGGAAAAAACACUUUGGAUUUUUUUUUCUUAUCUCUAAUAGUACAGUUCAGCCAGAACUACAGAUUCAAUGAUUGUCCACACAGACAAAGUUUGAGGAUCAAAGGAAAAAUGACACUAGUGGGUACAGACUCAGGCACAUAACAUGGAAAUGUGGAAUGAUGCAGUGUAGCCCAGAGAUCCCAAAAUCUAUGAGC
rnacentral:lncRNA from 13 species